rnacentral:hammerhead_ribozyme from 1 species
GUCCAGCUGACGAGUCCCAAAUAAGACAAAAUACGCGCCCUGGAU